rnacentral:rRNA from 1 species
ACGGGGGGUGCAAGCGUUGUUCGGAAUCAUUGGGCGUAAAGGGGGGGUAGCGGCUUUACCAAGCCGGUUGUGAAACCCCGGGGUUUAACCCAGAAGUGGCAUUUGAAACUGUUUGGCUUGAGUAAGGGAGAGGAAAGUGGAAUUCCUGGUGUAGAGGUGAAAUUCGUAGAUAUCAGGAGGAACACCGGUGGCGAAGGCGACUUUCUGGCCCUAUACUGACGCUGAGACGCGAAAGCGUGGGUAGCAAACAG